ACAUAACCUAUAAAUUCCAUCAGACUCGACGAUUCAUUGUAUAUGAAUCGUGGAAAUGAUAAAUAGUAGCAAAAAAUUUUCAUUAAUUUGUCGCUAUAAAGUUCAUACAACAUGAAAAAUUCAAUAAGUUACCGUAUCGAAUCUAAUCCCAAUGAGUUUAUAGGUUAUGUGCUCCAACCGAGAGUGCUGUGAUAAUUUGUACGUUGCGUCACGAGCUUCCUUCUUAUAGUCUCGAGCUCUCAACAAGCGGUCUUUGCCAUUGUUUUUUUAGCAGCUUUUCCAUUUUGCAAAAAUUCCCUUUUCUUGUGUUAAGCUCUAUUUUCUUGAAAAGUGUCUUUUUAGUAACAUUAUUAUUAUCAGUAAUCUAGUAAAAAAGUGUUGUUAUAAAUACAUUUAUUAGUUUCUAGUUGUCAGUUGGAAAUCAAAUCUCGUUUAUUCAUGAUAAAGUUUUGGUUAUGGUGGUAUGCUCAUCUUAUCCAAUUCCGGGAACUAUUUUUGAACUUUUGGAAAAAUUCGGUGUUGAAAUGUCCACUAGGAUGAAACCCUUCAGAGGCAUUUCUCUCCAAAUCCUUGAUAAAUAUUGGAAAUACGCGAAAUACUCCAACCUGAAAACAUGUCAGAAAGUGUACAGAUUGGAAGCGGGCUAACAUGGAUCUGGGAGAUGAUGAUUAGUCCAAUGGGUGACUGCAAAGUGUUGCCUGUUUCCAUAACUUGGUCUUGAUCAUGACAUGAUCUUGGCAGUGUCUUCAGCGUCGAUGAAUUGGAAGAUGGCAAUAAACGAUAAGUAUAGAUAAAUGCUCGACGGAGUGGUAUUUUUGAAAAUCAAGGAACUACCCGAAGUUAUUUGUAUCAACCUUCACUGAAGGUUUUCACUGGACGGCAUCAAAAUGUCACAUUGUUUCACAUCUCCGAUCGAAGGACUCUACGUACUUCUGCAUGAGGCACUAUCUCCAUUGUGAUUCAGAACUUGUAAAAAACUGAAGCAGCUCUGCACCGUUCGGCUAAGUUUUUCGAAUCAGAAUAACGGACGGCUCUUUCUCCUCAGUACUGAGGAGUUUCAUCAUAGGUGAGGAGGAUAACAUGGUGACUCUCUCACUCUUAUAGAAAAGGACAGGAAGAUUAUGGAGGAUUACAAAUCGGAUGUGCGUUGUAAGGAGAGAAAGGAGGGUGUCAGUUCAGAUGACGCUCUUCACGCCCUCAUAUUUGCAAUUGGAUAACAUCACCAACCCCCUUACUCCAUCAUCUGGAUCAUCAGCACAAUACCAUCAUCAUCAACAUCAUAAUCAUCAUCAACAACAUCACCAUAGGAGAAGGGGUAGGAGAGGAACUGUCUCAAUGAGUUUGUACCCAGCGAGUGGGCAUACGCAAAAUAAAUUGAUCUUAUCACA